GCAGCCAGGAAAAGUAUAAAAACUUGAGGCUCACGGCCAGAAGACAUUCUCAAAAUGACUGGCCAGACACACUGUCAGAAGCAGUCAUAAGAGAAUCCAAUGAACCAGCAACUUGACAGCUGAGACCGUCCAAGAGCCAGAGAACUAGCUCUUGCCUGCGGAUCAAGACUUGCUGAUCCAGAGGUCUACAUCGAGAGCCACGAACCACUAUCAGGAAGACAUUCUCAUAGGUACAACUGAGCAGCAACAGUACCAUGGAGCAACAAACUUCUCAGCUGCU